CAGUAGGGAAUCUUCCACAAUGGACGCAAGUCUGAUGGAGCAACGCCGCGUGAGUGAAGAAGGUUUUCGGAUCGUAAAGCUCUGUUGUUGGUGAAGAAGGAUAGAGGCAGUAACUGGUCUUUAUUUGACGGUAAUCAACCAGAAAGUCACGGCUAACUACGUGCCAC
rnacentral:rRNA from 1 species